GUUGGUGAUUUGUCGUAGGGGUCACACCUCUUCCCAUUCCGAACAGAGAAGUUAAGCCCUAUUGAGCCAAUGAUACUCUUCACAGGGGAAAGUAGGCAGUCGCCAGCA
rnacentral:rRNA from 2 species